AGCAGCCGCGGUAAUUCCAGCUCCAAUAGCGUAUAUUAAAGUUGUUGCAGUUAAAAAGCUCGUAGUUGAAUUUCGAGAUCAAAUUGUUGGUCGUGCCUCGGUACGUACUGGCAUUAUUGAUUUCUCCCUUCUGAAGAACCACGAUGUCAUUAAUUUGGUGUCGUGGGGAAUCAGGACUGUUACUUUGAAAAAAUUAGAGUGUUUAAAGCAGGCUCACGCUUGAAUACAUUAGCAUGGAAUAAUGAAAUAGGACGUUUGAUUCUAUUUUGUUGGUUUCUAGGAUCGACGUAAUGAUUAAUAGGGAUAGUUGGGGGCAUUAGUAUUCAAUUGUCAGAGGUGAAAAUUCUUGGAUUUAUUGAAGACUAACUACUGCGAAAGCAUUUGCCAAGGAUGUUUUCAUUAAUCAAGAACGAAAGUUAGGGGAUCGAAGACGAUCAGAUACCGUCGUAGUCUUAACCAUAAACUAUGCCGACUAGGGAUCGGAUGAUGUAAUUUUUAAUGACUCAUUC
rnacentral:rRNA from 1 species